CAUAGAGUGUGUGUGUGUGUCGAUGAGCAGGAAGGAAGAAAAGGGUUCAAACCCUAGUUUCUUCAAAAUCUUCAAAUUAAAAGGGAAAUCGAAGGCUAGUUGACUGCAUAAACUAAGAAUGGUGAUCAUCUAAGCAUUUCCUACAUCAACAUUAGGGAUCAUGUGGACAUGGACUCAAGCACGAAAGACUAACGGGUCAAGAUGAGGCAAGCAAGCGGGUAUGAACACGGAUGCACAAGGUUGUGCGGGUCACGGAGGAUCAUCGAGGAAUAAAGAUCGAAGAACGAGUCACAUAAGGGAUUGUACGGGGUUGUCUAAGGAUGCAAAUUGUUGUACAUAAGCUAUGAUUUAUUCUAUAAUUGAGUCAGUUUG